rnacentral:misc_RNA from 1 species
GGAGGGAUCAUUAACACGAAUUACACUUAUAUUGCAAAAUAUAAGUCGUUUUUCAAACAACCAAAACAAAAACCAAUCACCGUGCACUCGAAUUUCCUAUUCUUUAUUGAAUAUCAAAUUCACACCUCCCUAAACAAAGCGUUCAAAAAGUGAAGAUUCUCUUCUGCGACAUCAUGGGAUGAUCUCAGUGACCAGGGCCGUAUCUUCUACAUAUCAUGUGAUGGUAUCUUAUAGAGCUCUAUACACUCAGGAUUCGUUCUGUUUGAUUAUAUCUUUAUCUGUAUACAUAUGUAGUAACAUAGCUAGACCUAUCUUCUUCGCUGUCGUUUAGGACCAUUCAUUUUCGCUCACGAAAAUAACCAUAACCCCAAACCUAUUUCACCCUAACUUAUAAACAUUGACUGAUAUGUUUGUGUUAUUGAAAAAUAACUAUUAACAAACAAUAAAUCUCGAUAUCAAUUCGAAAACUAAAAGCACAACUCUUAGCAACGGAUAUCUUGGUUCUCGUAACGAUGAAGAACGCAGCGAAAUGCGAUAUGUAAUGCGAAUUGCAGAAUUCAGUGAAUCAUCAAAUCUUUGAACGCAAAUGGCGCUUUAGGGAUAGUCCUUAGAGCACACCUCUCUCAGUAUCGGUUCAACCUCAAAUCAGCUGCGUUUGUAUAUAUACUACUAUAGUUUACUAUUGUUAUAUAUAUAUUUAGCCUAACCGCUGGAAAAUGAGAGUCAUGAUUGCUUUCAAUUAUUAAUUAAUCUUCGGAUUGAUUACUUUUUGACUUGUCAAUGAUGUCUUUUGAAAUUAUUGAGUGUUUGAGCUAAUACAUCAAUCUAUCAUUUUAUAAGCUUUUAACCUUGUGACUUAUAAUUGACUUCGUCUAAUUAUAAUAGCUUGUAGCUAUAUAUCUUAUAUAUGAUAUUGUUGAUUGAUCAUAUGUUUCUAUCUAAUCUUCGGAUUAAUUAUAAACCUCUAUGAUUCAUAUUAGUGACGUGGAUAAUUUGACUGUUUAUUCAGUUAAUUACUUUGAAACGUCUUUUAAGCUAAUAUGUCUAAACAUCUUUCUCAAUAUUAUAUAUCUUAAGAAUAAUAGUCAUAAGUGAACCACAUAAACUAAAGUCUAAACUUAUCUUAUGAUACUUGUUAUGUAUCUAUGCCGAAACGAACUGAAAACUAAAUAGGAUUUAUUCUAUUUAAUUUUCAACUCUAACUCGAAUUAGAUCUGAGAUGAAGUGAGAAUACCCCCUGAAUUUAAGCAUAUUAAUAAGGGGAGGAAAAGAAAAUAACAAUGAUUGCUCUAGUAACGGCGAGUGAAGCGGCAAUAGCUCAAUAUGAAAAUCAGUGAUCCAAGCGGGUCAUCUGAAAUGUAUCCUAGAGACGUAUUAUCAGCGCGUGACCUAGACAUAAGUCUUUUGGAAAAAAGCAUCAAAGAGGGUGAGAAUCCCGUCUAUUGGUUUAGAGUCAUUCACCGCGUACGAUAUAUGUUCAUCGAGUCGAGUUGUUUGGGAUUGCAGCUCUAAAUGGGUGGUAAGUUUCAUCUAAAGCUAAAUAUUGACGAGAGACCGAUAGCGAACAAGUACCGUGAGGGAAAGAUGAAAAGAACUUUGAAAAGAGAGUUAAAAAAGUACUUGAAAUUGCUAAGAGGGAAGCGCUGAAAACCAGUGUCAUUGUUAUCAUUUUGCCUAUAGUCUAUUAAUAUGUUAUAUUACUAGUUGGUAACUCUAUUAGUAUAAUAUUGUUGAUUAGUCUGUUGGUCCUGUGAUAAUAAUAUGUCAGAAUCAGUUUGUAUUCGUAGGAGAAGAAUAGAAGAAAGGUAGGUUAUAAGCAAUUAUAACUGUUAUAGUCUUUUAUUUCUACUAUGUUAUAGACUGAGGAAGUAAUGAUGCGCCACUAGGCUUUUAUCUCUGUUUCUAUAUUAUUGAUUAGCGUGGAUGUCAAUGACAUGCUGUUAUGAAAGUGAUAUACUAAGUAGAUGUAUAAAUAUGCAUGAUCACGAUUCUGACUAAAUGGUUUUCAUCGACCCGUCUUGAAACACGGACCAAGGAGUCUAACAUAUAUGCAAGUAUUUGGGUUGUUAAACCCUGAUGCGUAAUGAAAGUAAAGAUAAGCUUGUCUUAUUGAGGUAGGAAAUCCUGUUAUAGGGAUGGCACUAUCGACCGAUCAUCACUUGUGAGAAGAUUUGAGUAAGAGCAUAUCUGUUGGGACCCGAAAGAUGGUGAUCUAUGCCUGAACAGGGUGAAGUCAGGGGAAACUCUGAUGGAGGCUCGUAGCGAUACUGACGUGCAAAUCGUUCGUCUGAUUUGGGUAUAGGGGCGAAAGACUAAUCGAACUAUCUAGUAGCUGGUUCCCUC